rnacentral:rRNA from 1 species
CCUACGGGUGGCAGCAGUCGAGAAUCAUUCACAAUGGUGGAAACCCUGAUGGUGCGACGCCGCGUGGGGGAAUGAAGUUCUUCGGAUUGUAAACCUCUGUUAUCUGGGAGCAAAGUAUAAAGCUCGUACCCCAAUAGGUAGAGCCGGCGAACUCUGUGCCAGUAACCGCGUUAAGACAGAGGUCUCAAGCGUUGUUCGGCAUCACUGGGCGUAAUGCGUGGGGAGGGUGUUUCGUACUGCGUGUGUGAAAGGCGCGGGCUCAACCCGCGGACGGCACAUGAAACUGCGAGACUAGAGUAAGGGAGGAGUAACCGGAAUGCUCGGUGUAGCAGUGAAAUGCGUAGAUAUCGAGAGGAACACUCGUGGCGAAGGCAGGUUGCUGGACAUAAACUGACGCUGAGGCACGAAGGCGAGGGGAGCGAAAGGGAUUAGAUACCCCUGUAGUC